AGAUUUUGAGUUGAAAAGAAUUUCAAAGUGUUUUGACUUGUGUCAGUCGACAUUGUAGAUUGCAUAUUCGACUGUGUAUUGAUUUGUUUUGGAAUUCUGUUAAGCCUACACGCUCCAACGACUAUAUUUUUCAAAAGUUAGUUGAGCUUGUAUGACUUGGUCAACUGUAAUAAAUGCGUGUUAAUUUUUGGUUGAUUGAGAGCCUC
rnacentral:lncRNA from 1 species